rnacentral:misc_RNA from 1 species
GUAGGUGAACCUGCGGAAGGAUCAUUAUUGAAAUAAACCUGAUGGGGUUGUUGCUGGCUCUCUAGGGAGCAUGUGCACACCUUGUCAUCUUUAUAUCUCCACCUGUGCACCUUUUGUAGACAUCUUUCCAGGUGUCUAUGUUGAUUCUUCAUUUACCCCAAUGUAUGUCAAUAGAAUGUUGUGUCUAUAAUAUAUACAACUUUCAGCAACGGAUCUCUUGGCUCUC